rnacentral:rRNA from 1 species
UACGUAGGGUGCAAGCGUUGUCCGGAAUUAUUGGGCGUAAAGAGCUCGUAGGCGGUCUGUUGCGUCGGCUGUGAAAACCCGGGGCUCAACUCCGGGCCUGCAGCCGAUACGGGCAGACUAGAGUUCGGCAGGGGAGACUGGAAUUCCUGGUGUAGCGGUGAAAUGCGCAGAUAUCAGGGGGAACACCGGUGGCGAAGGCGGGUCUCUGGGCCGAUACUGACGCUGAGGAGCGAAAGCGUGGGGAGAGAACAGG